AAAAAAGGAAAUAUUUUAGUUAAUAUUUCUCCGCCUUCUUCUUUUCUCUUUAAUUCUAUACUCUAUUUUUCUCUUCUCUCAAUCUCCGUAAAUCCAAACAAAGGGUCAGAGAUUUGCAUGAAUUCGGUGAGAUUUGGGUGGAUGAGGAUUAUCAAUUGGGUGAGAAGCAACUUGCGCAGAAGGGUGGGUUGCAGUUUCCUGUCGAGAGGAUCCCCAGAUUUCUUAAGGCGGGAAAGUAUGCCGAGCAUUUUGGUGCUGGAGCUCCUAUAUAUCUCUCUGCUGUCCUCGAUACCUUGCUGCUGAGGUGUUGGAGCUUGGGCAUCUGGCUGAAAGCGGGUCCGGUGUCAAGCAUCAGCUUUAAAAGUGAGCUGCAGAUAUUGAAUAUCAAUUGGUUUCAAAACCAGUCGCAUGGAAAUGUUGAGGAACGCUUGCCACUGGAGGAAGUUUUUGGGCAACUAAGAACUAAGAACUGACUUUCAACUGAAGAUGCUGAAGUUCGAUUGAAGAUUUUUGGCCUGAACAAACUUGAAGAGAAGCUAGAGAACAAGUUUUUGAAGUUCCUCAGUUUUACGUGCAAUUCCUUAUCAUGGACAGCCAUGGAGAACUAACUGCUAUAGACUUCUGGUUGUUGUCUCAACCCUAAGAUCAGGUCCAGUGUAGGAAUUUAAUGGUGGAAACUGGAGAGGCUGUGUUUUGCAUCUGAGAAUAAAUUUAGUAAUCCCUGGGAUUCAACUAGAUUGUGGAAGUUAAAUUUAUUCUUUUGUUGCAGGUUCUGUGUUUUUUCUGUCAUUGAAUUAGCAGUUUUGCUGGGUUAUUUUUGUGGAGCCAAUAUGAGUUCCACUGGUCCUUCCAUGGGUUCUGAUUAGUUUAUUUCCUCUUGCAUCAUUUUCCAUUACUUAAUAAAAGAAGCUUCUUGGUUUGUA